rnacentral:rRNA from 1 species
CCUACGGGAGGCAGCAGUGGGGGAUAUUGGGCAAUGGAGGCAAGCCUGAUCCAGCGACGCCGCGUGAAGGAAGAAGUCUUUCGGGAUGUAACGCCCUAUUAACAGGGAAGAACAGAUGACGGUACCUCAUGAAUAAGCCACGGCUAACUACGUGCCAGCAGCCGCGGUAAUACGUAUGGUGCAAGCUUUAUCCGGAUUUACUGGGUGAACAGGGAGCGCAGGCGGAAAGGCAAGCCUGAUGUGAAAGCCGGGGGCACAACCGGCGGACUGCAUGUGAAACUACCGGGCUGGAGUGCAGGAGAGGUAGGCGGAAUUCCUAGUGUAGCGGUGAAAUGCGUAGAUAUUAGGAAGAACACCAGUGGCGAAGGCGGACUACUGGACGGUGACUGACGCUGAGGCGCGAAAGCGUGGGGAGCAAACAGGAUUAGAUACCCCUGUAGUC